UUUGUGUUGGCUGGAGCUGGAGUAACAAGAUGGCGUCGUCGGCGGAGUGACAGGGGUCCCUCUGGGCCGGAGCCGACGGCAGUGGUGGCAGCGGUACCGCUCCCCAGCUCACUGCGCCCCUUUUCCAGCCCGGACGUCGCCGCGAAAGCGAGGCAGCGGCGGCUGCCCAGAACAGGUGGCCCAGCCUGGUAACCGCUAGAAGCCCUUCACAAACUGCGGCCUGGCAGGCAACCAACCAAAAAACAAACAAAGAAUCCUGACCGAGCAGCGGGCAUCAAGUUCCCUUCGCCGGCAUCUGGGCCCUGGACGCCGGGAAAGGCCUCCGUGUUCCGCUUCCUGCCGCCUUCCACGGUAGGCUUGGCCCAGCCUCCAUCUUCGUCUCUCAGGACGGCUAGCAGCAGAAUUCAUUGUCGGAAGGAAAUAUAAACUGCUUUGGAAGAUCUGGUGUAGCUCCUUCGGAGACAUCUGUCUGGCGAUCAGCAUCACCAACGGUGAAGAAGUGGUAGUGAAGCCAGAAUCUCAGGGCCAGGCAUCCCCAGUUGCUGUACAAGAGCAGGCUUUACAAGAUGCUUCAAGGUGGGGUUGGCAUCCCCCACAUACGGUGGUGUGGUCAGGAAGAAGACUAUAAUGUACUAGUCAUGGAUUUUUCUGGGACCUAGCCUCGAAGACCAAUUUCUGUUCAAGAAGGUUCACAAUGAAAACUGUACUUAUAUUAGCUGACCAGAUGAUCAGUAGAAUUGAACAUGUGCAUACAAAGAAUUUUAUACACAGAGCCAUUAAACCAGGACCCUGAUCCAUCAAUAUGACUACACAUUUGAUUGGACAAAGUUAAAGCAGAAAGCAGCACAGCAGGCAGCCUCUUCUAGUGGGAGGGGCAGCAGGCCCAAACCCCAACAGGGUAUUUAGAGAAAUUCAAUCAGAGACGAUGGAACUAAAGCUGGCCCUUCUGUGCAUACCUGUUUCCUAAAAUGUUUACUCCUGGAUUGGGUCAGCCCCUCUGCAUUUACCUAUAAGAAUCUACAUACAAGCUUGUCUAUCCAUCCUGCAUAGAGCACAAGUCACAGAAGAAAAGCUCCUCUCCAUAAAUUGCUUAACAUAGUAAUCAAUAUCUCUUCACAUUUUCAGAGUAAACUAUAUCACUUGAAUAAACAAAAUGCCAAAGGGUUCACAGUAACAGACUAAUUAGAGCAAUGACAAUGAUUCUAGAAGUCUUCCUGGAAAAGGCAACUAUUUAACUAUGUUGUAUUUAUUCACAUCAGCCCUUUAAACUUUCUCCAUGAUACAUCCAUUUUUGAGGGGAGGGAAAGGUGAGGUUAGGGGUCCCGAGAGACUUAGAGGGAUGAUGGGGUCAGAAGUAUAUUGAGAUGAUUUCACUGGGAAACGGGAGGAUGAGUUUCAGGACAAUAGCUGUGGUUCUGUUUCAAACAGGAUGCAUGGAGAAGACAGAACACCUUCUCAAAUGGGAAGAGAGAGACAGCAAACAUAGCAAAAGACAUAGAAACCCUAAAAGUAACAAAGUACCCGAAGUUAUGUUUACUUUGAAAACACUUACUUACUUAAGUACUAAAACGAGAGAACACUUCAUGUGGACACUGGGUGCAAAUCAUGUCCAUCGAUCUGGAAUUUAUACCCCAGCCUUCUUCCAAAAGUUGGGGGUGUUUGUUUUAACAAAAUUGGUCGUGUGAAUUAUUACAUGUUUUCUCAGUUAUUUCCCCAGGGAAACACGCCAAAGGCAA
rnacentral:lncRNA from 1 species